GUCCUAGUUACCAGCACGUUAUGGUGGGCACUCUAAGGAGACGUGCCGGUGACAAACCGGAGGAAGGUGGGGAUGACGUCAAGUCAUCAUGGCCCUUACGGCCUGGGCUACACACGUGCUACAAUGGUCGGUACAAAGGGUUGCCAAGCCGCGAGGUGGAGCUAAUCCCAUAAAACCGAUCGUAGUCCGGAUCGCAGUCUGCAACUCGACUGCGUGAAGUCGGAAUCGCUAGUAAUCGUGAAUCAGAAUGUCACGGUGAAUACGUUCCCGGGCCUU
rnacentral:rRNA from 1 species